GUGGGCACAGCUCAUUGGUAGAGCACAUGCUUAGCAUGCAUGAGGUCCUGGGUUCAAUAUCCAGUAUCUCCA
rnacentral:tRNA from 1 species